GACAGUGUGGCAUAAUGGUUUGUGCACUGGAUUAUGACUCUGGGGACCAGGGUUUGAUUCUCAGGUCAGCCA